AUUGAACGCUGGCGGCAGGCCUAACACAUGCAAGUCGAGCGGCUCGGCGGACGGGUGAGUAAUACCUAGGAAUCGGCCUGUUCGUGGGGGAUAACGUUCGGUAACGGCAGCUAAUACCGCAUACUAUCAGAUUAGCCUAGGUCGGAUUAGCUAGUUGGUGGGGUAAUGGCUCACCAAGGCUACGAUCCCUAACUGGUCUGAGAGGAUGAGCAGUCACACUGGAACUGAGACACGGUCCAGACUCCUACGGGAGGCAGCAGUGGGGAAUAUUGGACAAUGGGCGAAAGCCUGAUCCAGCCAUGCCGCGUGUGUGAAGAAGGUCUUCGGAUUGUAAAGCACUUUAAGUUGGGAGGCGUUACCGACAGAAGAAGCACCGGCUAACUCUGUGCCAGCAGCCGCGGUAAUUC
rnacentral:rRNA from 1 species